CUAUGUUUAGAUUUAAGUUUAAAGUUAAUUAAAUUACUAAUAAAUACUAUUAAAUUAUAGCAUGAUAUGCUACUAAACCUUUCUGAUGUUUGAAGUAAUGCAUCAUUAAAAUUUUCUUGAUGUAAAAUAUUUAGGCUUCGUUUGCGACGGCUUUCUCAUUAUUUCUUGAAGCAUUUUAUAGUAAGAAAUUAAAAUUCUUGUGCUAAAAAAUUGAUUUAAGAAGCAGUAAGAAAACCGUCUCAAAUGAAUCCUUAAUGUAAAUUAUCAACAGAAGAUUAUGUUGGAACUUCCAACAUAAAAGAUUCAUAAUUCUGUCUAAAAUUUCAAUAGAUUUCCAACAAAAAAAUUUUUUUUUUCAUCUUUUUCAAUGAGGCUUAAAUUUUCUUUUUUUUUUUGGUUGCAUGGAAUGUAAGUUUUUCAAGAGAAAACUGGCUUUCUCUACCAAAUCAAUUCUUUCUGAUUCUGUAGCUCUCCAUAUAUAUAUUAAUUUCAAAAUCUGUAAAGAGAUUUUUUGUAGAAUUUUUAUACGAGUAAUUGGGAUCUGAUUCAAGGUCGAAUGGUCAACGAAAAAGAGGUGCAUGAGCUGCAUAAGAACCUGUUGCAUGAGAGAUCAGUCUGAAAGUCUGUAUGCAUGGAGGCUGGAGCUGAUAUAUAAUUAAAUAACAGGUAGCUGGACAUGAAGCAAGACUGGCUUGGUCAAUUGAAGAACUAUAUCUGUACUGAGAGAUAUCUCUGCAUGAGGGAUCAGAUGUUGAUAAAAAACCCUAAAUAACUCUGGCUAUGGUUAUUGUAUUAUUUAGGGUUUUUUUAAUAGAAGUUUUUUUUUUUU